rnacentral:lncRNA from 1 species
UGUAUUUCUCAAAAAACCUAGCAGAGAAAUCUGAAUAAAUUUCAAGUCCACUCCUGGUGCUAACUCAGAGAUAAGCUCAUAUAGAUGCCAUAACAUUUAUGUAUCAUGCCUUCUUUUUCUUCUUACUGUAUCAAAUUACUUCUCAAUUUUUAUCUUACCAUUUAUUUUUCAUCUUUGAAAAAAUAUCUCUUUAUUUCUGACUCCUUCUCUCUCUCCCUUCUUCAAUCAGUUCUGACACUGAGUUUCAGGUCUGCAUGACUCCCUGUCUAUAAAAAACACCAUCUGCUAUGACAUGAAACUCAAAAAUUUAAGUGACUAAAAAAUAAAGCUGUAUUUCCCACUUACAACGAGUCUGAUAUGAAUAUCAUUUGUCAGAUGGCUCUCUUUGGUGGUUCUUCUCCAAGUAAUAAAUUCAAGGUUUCAUGCUUUUCCCAUUGUUUAUCUCGAGUAACAUAACAUCUUUAAUUGCCCGUCAUGCAGAACAAGACAGAGAGAGUGGGACAAAUCCAGGUUAAGAAAUGUAUCUUCUAUGUGCCAAGAGGGAAAAUUGAGUCCUUUAAUGGGCAUAGCAGCAUUUGUCUCCUUCACAUUAUCCAAUGAUUGAACUUGUUGAGAGAAGUCAGUUUCUCUGAGAAACAUAGAGGAAUAACAUAGCCUACAAAGAAUUUAAUAUAAAUGCCUAGAAACAGGAAGUGUUCAUGAAAUUCAAGAAAUACUAUUUUCAUUUUAUAACUAACCAGACACAGAGAAGCUAAGUAAUUGUCCCAUCAUCUCACAGCAGGUUAGCAGAAGAGCCAGAUUUUAAAAUGGUAGAGUUUAUCUCCAGUGUCCACAUCCUUUUUCUAAAAAGAUUUUGUAUAUUUAUUUGAGAGAGAGAGAGAGUAAGCACAACCAGGGGGACAGGCAGAGGAAGAGAGAAAUGAAGAAGCAGACUCUACUCUGAGCAGGGAACCCAAUGCAGGUCUUGAUCCCAGGCCCCUGGGAUCAUGACCUGAAUUGAAGGCAGACGCUUAACCAACAGAGCCAUCCAGGCACCACCUGUGCACACAUUCUUAAACAAUAGUCUUCAUUACCCUCCACUGGGCUUUUAUUCUGAAAUUUCAAGAUUUUUCUUUUGAUGCUAAUUGUUCUUAUGUAUUUAUAGUUAUAUUUGAACCAAAUCUUCAUGUUUUGGGAAAUAAAAAGGAGGGUAUAUUCUCAUUUCAACUUAGUCUGCCAAGUCUAAAUGGAAGGAGUAAAUUAUUUUUAACCACUAGAGAAAUUAAAACAAACAUGUAUAGAAAAAAUUACCUACUUAAUAGAUUCAAAUGAAGAAUGUAGCAAGUAAUAGCAUAAUGAUUUUAUACAUAAAUUAUACAUUUAAAAAAGAACACACCCAUACUGAUUAACCUUUUAAUAUAUAUAUAUUAAUCAAUGAGUUUUGAUGAAUAGAUUUUUAAACUUUCAUAAAUA